CAAAGCUGUGGCGCAAGGCUCUGCCACAAUCGUGUUGUGGAAAGUGUUUCUAGCACACAGCCUCCAGGUACCAUGCUGGAGUUCAUUGGGGGUGCUAAAUGCAACUGUCCAGCAGUGAAAAUUCAAGGGAGAUGUGACGAAUGCUCGCUAUAGUCCCGUUCCUUGGAAACAUGCUCUGCCUGCCCCAACCGGUAAAGCGACUGUAUCACUGUCCGUAACAGACCACCAGUAACUGCAUCACGUUCUAAGCAGGAAAAUAGUGCCAGAAACCGCCAGGCCGAUGCAUCUAAACUCCAAGUUUCUUGCUACCUCCAUGUAGGUGGAGCUACCGGCGACAUUUGUGUGUUUGUGGGAGUGAUGGGACACGAUCGGCCACAUGAAAACGUCUUCCUCUGGUGUGUUUUCCGCGGAAAAGACUCCUACGAAAAGGGAACGUUUCACCGGGUGUGGCUGAGAUGUGGUAGUCAUAAAAAGCCACACUGAGCUGCCUGGGGACGACAGCGUGCCCCGGAAUCCUGCGGAAUCCCUCUUCUGCAAACGGCAAACGGUGAGUACAGCUUGUGACUCUCUGAGUUCUGCUCUUUCUCGCUCUCUGUUUUCCCUCCAGUACGCCUCUUUCCUUGGAAACGUAUGAGCGCAAUGACGUUGCCGACUCCCUUACCCGACGGCGUACUACGGGUACCUGCCGCUUCUUCUUUUAUACUACCUCCCGUGUUGUUUAACCACAGACAAGUUCCUCGGAAUACGCGUACACUACAGAAAGAUAGCAUUUUUGCUCGGAAGCAUGACUCUAUGAAGUGUUGCCACACGGCCUCAAUAUCAACCAAUCGGUACACCCAGACAGCCUCAUACCAUGCCAAACCAUUUGCCUCUAUUUUUGCUUCGUGGCUAACCAAUGUAAAAGGUCGAUUCUCGUGAUGACACCCAAGCAAGGUGGGCAUUCUUCACUGUCCAUUGAAUUUUCCCUGCCGCUUUGGCCUCCUUGUUCACCAUCAACUGCUCUUUUCUCUGACGGCUUCUCGUCCAUCACGCAUACGUAUGGAGAGGAAUCCAGGGCCUUUGCUAUGUCCCGAAGAUAAGUAGAAGGGAAUGCCUGAGGAAAACAUUUGUGGAUGUAGGGGAAUAAAGAAUGCAGGUGCCAGUGAAUGGCUGAGAUGUCGCUGUUCGGUUCAUAAUAACAAGGGACAACAUAAUCUGUGGUAAACCCUUGAUUUCCCCGUAUCUCACUGUGAGCGGUUCCUUGUAUUCGACCUGAAGAUACUGGAAAUGAGCUAGUACUUGUGGGAAUAAAACUAUAAAUUGUUCACACACGGAUA
rnacentral:lncRNA from 1 species